rnacentral:rRNA from 1 species
CACGUAGGGGGCAAGCGUUGUCCGGAUUUAUUGGGCGUAAAGAGCUCGUAGGUGGUUCGGUAAGUCGGGUGUGAAACCUCCAGGCUCAACCUGGAGACGCCACCCGAUACUGCCGUGACUAGAGUCCAGUAGGGGAGCGUGGAAUUCCUGGUGUAGCGGGGAAAUGCGCAGAUAUCAGGAGGAACACCAGCGGCGAAGGCGGCGCUCUGGGCUGGCACUGACACUGAGGAGCGAAAGCGUGGGGAGCGAACAGG